ACACCCCGCAUCAGCUGAGGCUUCUUGCUCGCCUUCUCACACUGGAAGCCUCCUAGUGGGACCCAAGCCACCCAAAAGAGGCAGUAAACUGGCAGUAUGCCGAGAUCAUUGGGUCAAUAUUACCUACACUGGCUGGCAGCAUGAUUCGGGGGUCCCCACGCAGCCUGGAGAUUCUUGCCUUCUGCAUGCAGAACAUGCACAGUGCAUUGUCCCUUCGGCCAGUUCUACCCAUGCAGUGACACUUCCUUGGAUCAAGCACUCGCCUGCUUUCACAAGCAACUGCCACCUGCACCUGGAGUGUGUGUGUGUCCAGGCAGGGGGACCUAUAGGAAGCUGCCUUAUAUGCAGAGUGAGACCAGUGUUACUUCUACCCCAGUACCCUCUACAUGAGCCGGCAGCAGCACUCCCCACGUGUUCGGACGGAAACCUUUCCCAGCUCCCCUGGAGAUGCCAGGGAUUGAACCUGGGACCUUCUGCAUACAAAGCAAAUGCGCCACCACCAAACGACCGCUCUUCCCCAAGGGGAGGAGGUGUUAGCACUGCUACGCUCUGCAGCUCAAAUUGGGCCCAAUGGGGCCACCCAGAGUGAGCAAGAAAGCAAGAGCAAAUUAUGCCACUCUUGACAGCAGAAGCCACCACCUCUUUCCUUUCUCUGACACAUGAGGAAGGAUUCAGCUUGCUCAGCUCAGUCACCAUUGCCCAGCUCCCCAGGCUGUUGUUGCCUCUGCCUCCCUGCACAUGUAUCCACUUCCUCUGGGCACCUAGGUGUUUGGGUUUGGUCCAAGUCUUCUUUCCUGUGCCAUCCAAAGAAAGAGAAAAAGAUGGCAGGGGCAUCUUGCGUUCUUUCUCUGAACAGACCUGACACCCCAGACUAGAGAUCAAGGGCAAGUAAGCAAGAGGAGGUCACAGCAUAUAGAGCUCUCUAGGCUCAGUUCUUCUGCCAUAGCACCACCUAGAAAGAGAAGUCAAGCAAGCAGAAGCAGGAGAAACUUUCCUACCAUGUUUCCUACUGUGUCUUUAUCUGUGCUCUCCCUUUCAGUGGUAGAGCAAACUAAAUCCUUGCAUCCACAUCUCUCAGAAGGAGAGGGUAGGUGAGCAAUUGGAGACAGCGGUAGCCAUUCCUUGAUACCACCGCUUGCCCACUUUUGCAGUUAAUAUCCUCCAUAUAUUUAGAAGCCCCCUUUUAGAAGCCACCUAAACUUGUAGCUAUCACAAUGCUUGGUACCAAUGAAUUCCUUCAAUCAAUUAUAUAUUACAUGGAGUUGUACUAGCACUCUUUGUUUGCCCUGAAUAAACAGCUAGUUAAUUUCAUUGGAUAACUCUGAGUUCUAGUGCUUUGAGAGAGAAUAAUUACCUUUUUCUGUUCACUACCUCCACAACAUUCACAACUGAAUAACUUUCUGUUAUUUUCUUGCUUAUUUGUUCCUUUUUCAAGCAAAAAAGCCUUGCUUUGCAGGAAAAAUGCUUCUUCACUCAUCAUUUUUACUGUCUUCUCCCGAUCGACAUGUCUUUUUCUUUUCUUUUUUGAGACAGAGCAAAUGUUUGUACCAGAUGUAGGUGUAGCAUAGAUUUAUAUAAUGUCAUUAUAAUAUUUGAUGAAUUAUACAUAGUUUCUUUCCUAGAAAUUCCUGCCACAGAAUUUGCAUAUUUACUGUUGCAGCACACCAUCCUGCCAUUUUCACUGAGCUUCUCACCGUUAUCCCAUGGUCUCUUUUCUAGCAAGUUAAAACCAUUUUAGAGCCCAACAGUAUAUAUCAAAAUCAGAAUAAAUUAAUUUUUUAGCCAUAAGCCAUACAAAAUUACAGAUGAAGCUAUGCAAAUUCAAAUAGAACUGGAAAAAGCUAUGAAUCAAUUGUCUAUCAUACUGGUGAAAACAGAAUAAAAUCACAUAGAAAUCAAUACAGUGGUACCUCUGGUUACAAACGCUUCUGGUUACAAACGCUUCAGGUUACAAGCUCCGCUAACCCAGAAGUAGCUGCUCCUGGUUGUGAACUUUGCUCCAGGAUGCAGACGGAAAUCGCAUGCCAGAGGCACGCGCGCAGCGGGAAACCCCAUUAACGAAAGCAUGCCUCAGGAUAAGAAUGCUUUCAGCUUAAGAAUGCACCUCCAGAACGAAUUAAGUUUGUAACCAGAGGUACCACUGUAGCCCAUCUUACAAACAUUCUUAUUAAUUAAUUCUUGUUAUAUUUAAUGGCAGGCAGCACAUAUAUAGCUACAAUACAGAUAACUUGCUGGAAUUUAAUCCAAUUUCUGCUGGUUUGUCCAGUUUACAUAAUAAUUCGAAACAGGCUAAAGAAAGCUUAGCCCAAUGUUUUAACUGAUGGGCUAUUUGAACAAAUAGGUUCCCACCCACCCACAGCUAUAUUCUCACCAGUACAGAACCUUAGUUUGUAUCAGAUAAGAAGUUAACACUCAUCCAAGUGCUGUAGAAAGAAAUUGCUGCAGUCUUCAUAAAGUGAAAGCUCUUCUUACAAACAACUUUGGAAGUUAUAUCAAGUAAUUCUCCAGUGCACGCUUAAACAUAAACAGCCUGUACCAUGGUGCUAUUUUUACUUCCACCAGUAGAGAUAGAUCUUGCUAGAUAAACAUGUCUGUUGUUCUCCUUUUAAACUCUGUUUAUUUCUGCCAACAGUUCAAGUCCAGCAAAGCAUGCUAGUGAGAGUUCAUGCAAAUGAAUCUGAGUGAUUUCCUAAAUCCAAGUAGGCACCUCAGACCAAGUAAACUAUAAAUGUUCCCUGAGGCAAAUUUUAGGGAGUCCAUCGGUUGUCAUGUUCAUAAUUUUAAUCCAAUAAUUAAAUAGAACCCUGCUAUUCAGUUAUACAGUUACCCAGUUUAGAAAUAUUAUUUUGGGACUGUUUGGAACUUUAAUGUCCCUGAAUCAUUUGUUCCAUAUCCAAAUUUAACUAUUUCACUGUUCUGACUGACUCCAGUUACUGUGUGAAUAAGUAACACUAUUCCUAUUACAAUUUCCUGGUGUUUGCCUUCCUCACUUCUUUUCAGUGAAGCACCUUAAGCCUCUGAAAAGGAUCUUAAGGUUUGGGAGAAGAUAACCUGGUUCCAAGCUGUUAAUUGUUUUUGUUAUUAUUGUCAUUUAUUAAGGGCUAUCAACUUACCCUCAUACAACAUUAGUAAAAAGACAACCUCCAUCUUGAGCAGGCACCCACAAACUUGGCCUUCCAGAUGUUUUGGGACUACAACUCCCAUCAUCCCUAGCUAACAGGACCAGUAGUCAGGGAUGAUGGGAACUGUAGCCCCAAAACAUCUGGAGGGCCGAGUUUGGGGUUGCCUGAUCUUGAGGAACUUACAGUUUAAGUGUUGUGUGGGGUGGGGGCAGCAGAGGUAGUUGAGGGGAGAAAGACAGAUUAAAGGAUAAUGGGUGCACAUUUGGAAAAGCAAUUAAGCAUAGUGUCAGUAGUUGAUGAAGAUUAAGGGGUUGCAUUAACAAUAUUCAAGAAAGAGGUGGGACUUGAGGAAAGCUUUUACCUGUGGCACCUCAUCAUCACUCAGCGAGGGCAUUCUGGAAAGAAGGACAGCAAGAGAAUUGGUGGCAUCCGAGCAGGAAACAUCCAAGUGGCUUUAGUUCUAAAUCUUUUUUUUUUUUUUUUUACAAAGCUCUUCAGCAGAAAAAAAGAUAUUUUAGGUAUGGGUAUCUCUCCAGUAUCUUCUGUUGUGCAAAGAAUUUUUAUUCCUAGCCUUUCCCUAUCUUUUCCAGUAUCCCUUUUCAUUACCCCCCCCCCUGUAAGCUCGUGUUUCCGCUGUGGCUCCAACUGGUUUCCUUCUGUUUAAAUAAGUUUGAGGCUAUCAUUUAAAAAAAAAAAUAUUUAGCAAUAUGUUUAUCACAAA